GGAGCAUGCGGAUUAAUUCGAUGCAACGCGAAGAACCUUACCAAGGCUUGACAUACACCGGUAACGCCCAGAGAUGGGUGCCCCUUUGUGGUCGGUGUACAGGUGGUGCAUGGUUGUCGUCAGCUCGUGUCGUGAGAUGUUGGGUUAAGUCCCGCAACGAGCGCAACCCUCGUCCUAUGUUGCCAGCGGGUCAUGCCGGGGACUCAUGGGAGACUGCCGGGGUCAACUCGGAGGAAGUGGGGAUGACGUCAAAUCAUCAUGCCCCUUAUGUCUUGGGCUUCACGCAUGCUACAAUGGCCGGUACAAAGGGCUGCGAUACCGCGAGGUGGAGCGAAUCCCAGAAAGCCGGUCUCAGUUCGGAUUGGGGUCUGCAACUCGACCCCAUGAAGUCGGAGUCGCUAGUAAUCGCAGAUCAGCAACGCUGCGGUGAAUACGUUCCCGGGCCUU
rnacentral:rRNA from 1 species